UGGAAAACCGGAGACAAUGCUGACUGAUUUUCUACUUCUGAACUAAUUGAUUCUGGACAUUCAGAAACCAGAGAUGAGGUCGAGAAUGUAGGUGAUUCUGAACACUUCGCUCUUUUGAUAGGGUUACCAAGAUCGUCAUCCGUGGUUGUUUCAAUGUUGUAAUCUAUUUUCUGCCAACACAAGGACUAUAAUUCAGCAAGUACAAGCAUGUUUGUUUCACCGGCAGAAAACUUGUAGAAGCUAUGGAAAAUUUACCUCCUCAUCGAUAUAUUCAGAUGAUUUUGCUUCCUCUUCCUCACAGAAAUAAGCAAUCCAAGAUUCAAUAUGUGAUGCUAUAAUGGAUCAUGCAUGCUUGUUUCAUCGGCACUGGAAGAAAACGUAUAGAAGCUAUGGAAAAUUUACCUCAUUAUCGAUUGAUUCAGAUGAUUUUGCUUCCUCACAGGCAAGAAACUGAACAUAGUACACGGCGUACCUUGUGGAACACAGCCAGUUGGCGUUCUGUUAAAUUCUGCUCAAGAGAACUCGUGUGGAUAUCGGACGAAGUCGGUAGAACGGCGGCGUCUAAAGGAAUCUUCUGUUGAGGUCCUCAAUCUCCUGGAUGUGGUGCGAUCGAAGGGAGAAGUGGUACGUACGAAACAAUCGAGUAUAGGUCCAUCAGCUGAAAGCCCAUAACGGGCGCUCGGCAGGGGUCUUUUUGGGCUGCUGGAGCCCAGCCCAGGACAACCACGCGACGGGAGAGAUCGAAAUCUUUUCUGUGCAACGACUAAACGAAUCGUUAUGUACUUAUGUAAC